rnacentral:rRNA from 1 species
CCGUGGCAUUUAUUCGAUCAUCCGCAUCGUCUGUGUGUCACAAAAUGAUGACGUAAGGGAAAAUAAUGAUAUUACCUUACUAAUAGUGUUGUCUAAAUCCUGGUGCCAGAAGACUCGGUAAGGCCAGAGACGCAAACGUUAAUCAUCUUGAAUAGGCGUAAAGGGUUAGUAGGCUGCUUUAAAAGUCUUAAUUUAAAAAUAGCUUAAAUUUAUUUAAUUAAAAAAUUAUUUUAAGAUCAAUUAAAGCUGGAAUCAAAUAGAGGUUAUAUUGAAUAAUACUUAGAGGAGGGAUGAAAUCCGCAGAUCCUAAGGGGAAUACUAAGGGCGAAGGCUUUUUUUCCACUAAUGAUUGACGCUGAGAAACGAAGGUGAGGAUAGGAAAUAGGAUUAGAUACCCCGGUACCCCUCUCUGUCAACGAUGAAUGGUAGUUUAUUAGUACAAUUGUUUACUAGUGACGAUGUUAACACGAUAACCAUUCCGCCUUGUGAGUACGACUGCAAAGUUGAAAACAAAAAAAUUAGUCGGUCUCGAAGCAAACGAAGUGAAGCAUGUUAUUUAAUUCGUAAAAUCCGCAA